GACGAACGCUGGCGGCGUGCUUAACACAUGCAAGUCGAACGGAGCACCCUUGAAUGAGGUUUCGGCCAAAGGAAAGGAAUGCUUAGUGGCGGACUGGUGAGUAACGCGUGAGGAACCAGCCUUUCAGAGGGGGACAACAGCUGGAAACGGCUGCUAAUACCGCAUGACGCAUUCGGAUGGCAUCAUCUGAAUGCCAAAGAUUUAUCGCUGAAAGAUGGCCUCGCGUCUGAUUAGAUAGUUGGCGGGGUAAUGGCCCACCAAGUCGACGAUCAGUAGCCGGACUGAGAGGUUGACCGGCCACAUUGGGACUGAGAUACGGCCCAGACUCCUACGGGAGGCAGCAGUGGGGAAUAUUGGGCAAUGGGCGCAAGCCUGACCCAGCAACGCCGCGUGAAGGAAGAAGGCUUUCGGGUUGUAAACUUCUUUUAAGAGGGAAGAGCAGAAGACGGUACCUCUUGAAUAAGCCACGGCUAACUACGUGCCAGCAGCCG
rnacentral:rRNA from 1 species